rnacentral:tRNA from 1 species
UGGGGGAUAGUUCAACGGCAGAACAGCGGCCUUUGGAGCCGAGAAUCCUGGUUCGAAUCCAGGUCCCCCAGCAA